CAGACUCCUACGGGAGGCAGCAGUGGGGAAUAUUGCACAAUGGGGGAAACCCUGAUGCAGCGACGCCGCGUGGAGGAAGAAGGAUCUUCGGAUUGUAAACUCCUGUUGUUGAGGAAGAUAAUGACGGUACUCAACAAGGAAGUGACGGCUAACUACGUGC
rnacentral:rRNA from 1 species